rnacentral:rRNA from 1 species
UACGUAGGGUGCGAGCGUUAAUCGGAAUUACUGGGCGUAAAGCGUGCGCAGGCGGUUUUGUAAGUCUGUCGUGAAAUCCCCGGGCUCAACCUGGGAAUUGCGUUGGAGACUGCAAGGCUGGAGUCUGGCAGAGGGGGGUAGAAUUCCACGUGUAGCAGUGAAAUGCGUAGAGAUGUGGAGGAACACCGAUGGCGAAGGCAGCCCCCUGGGGCAAGACUGACGCUCAUGCACGAAAGCGUGGGGAGCAAACAGG